GUUCUACCUUGACGAAUUGUAGUUUAAAGAAGUGUUUUCUGUUAGAGGAGUAGCAAAAGUUCCUUGGAAUGGGACAUCAUAGAGGGUGAGAAUCCCGUAUUUGGUUAUUCUUUCUAGCUUUGUGAUACACUUUCAAAGAGUCGGAUUGUUUGGGAAUGCAGUCCAAAAUGGGUGGUAAAUUUCAUCUAAAGCUAAAUAUUGGCGAGAGACCGAUAGCGAACAAGUACCGUGGGGGAAAGAUGAAAAGAACUUUGAAAAGAGAGUUAAACAGUACGUGAAAUUGUCAAAAGGGAAGCGUUUGACACCAGUGUCGUUUUUCCGAAAAUCAAUUAAGAAGGACUUGAUUUUGUGUUGUAUUGACCUUAUCAGCUUUCUUCACUCUUUUUCGAGUCUUUCUU
rnacentral:rRNA from 1 species